rnacentral:lncRNA from 1 species
AUGAGAGACCUUAGGAGAAUUAUUAUUCAGGGCAUAAGAACAGCUGUGUCCCAGAAUCAGGACCUGAAUGAGGUGUCUGAAGCCAAACAGGAGAAAGAUGAGACUCUCACUGAUUUUUUGAACUAUGGUCUAUAUGUGACUGAUCUCUGUCCAGAGAUUUGUAGAAAGCUUCAGAAAGCAGAAAAUUGUGUGAAUGAGCCAUUAGUUGAGCCCUUACAGCAAGCACAGAAGGUAUUUGUGAAAGAGGAGCUACAGCAGGAAGGACUGACUAGGAAUGGAAAGAAAGAAAGAAAGAAAGAAAGAAAGAAAGAAAGAAAGAAAGAAAGAAAGAAAGAAAGAAAGAAAGAAAGAAAGAAAGAAAGAAAGAAAGAAAGAAAGGAAGGAAGGAAGGAAGGAAGGAAGGAAGGAAGGAAGGAAGGAAGGAAGGAAGGAAGAAAAAGAGGGAUUUUAGAAAGAUGAGAAUUUGCUUUUUAGUCAUCUCAAUUAAAAUUAAUGGAAUUCCAUCAAACUUUUCUUUGUGAGCCUUUGGGUCUGUGUAUGUCUGUGUAUCUGUGUGUGUGCUGUCAAUCUGAUCCUGACUUUAAAGUCCUGAGAACCAACAUGGGUAGUUAUGACAGAACAUUGAAAUGUUCUAAAAAAAAAAAAGUCUAGAAAUGAGAACCUGUAUUCUAGUGCUGUCUCUUCUACUUACUGAUUUAUGUAUAGUCUUGACUCUGUUUAUUAUCCAUCCUGAAUCUCAAUCUCCUCAAUUUGACUCACCCUUCCACUACUAAUCAUUUCCCUAUCCCUGUUUAAAUCAUUUAAUCUUUCUCCCAGUUUCUUCAUCUAUAAAAUGUAAGUAAUAACACUUGCCCAAUUUAGCUCAGAGUAUUGUCAGGUCUUGGUCAAAUAUGAAACCAUGGUUAUUGUAUAAAUGUGAUUUAUUUUAUCAUCUGUCAAAUGGUAAUAAUGAGCUCUAUCUAAUAUGCCAGGAGGUCCUUGUGUAAAUUUAGUGAAGCAUUUGUGAAAGCUCUUUGGAUACACAGAGUGCCAUAUGAAUGUAAGGUUGCCAUGUUCUCCAUGAUGUAUGUGUUAAUCUCAUUCACAUUUUCUUUUCUUCAACAGCAACCUUGGUCCAGGGCUCUCCAAAAGCCUGUCUUCACCAGGCUAAGUCAGUUCUGCAACAAUGUCCAACUCCACAGAUAGCACCAUUUCAGAAAUGCUGCCACCCAGAAGAUUCCAGCCUCAGUCACUAGAACAAGACAUGAAAUCACUUAUUCCUUGCCCCAGGCUUGCCUCUGUGCCUUCACCAUGUCUCAGUUACUCAAUUAUUCCAUGCCAACCUUCCAGAAAUAGCUGAAUAAAGAGCAUGCCAGCAUCCCA